CGGGGGACAGCUUCCUGCUGAUGUAGAUGAUCGGAUGCUCCUCACCUUCCUGGAUUUGGGAGAGGACCGCUCCUAGUCCUGUGUCGGAAGCAUCCGUCUGCAGCAGGAAGGGGCAGCUAAAGUCCGGGGCGUGGAGUACCGGCGAGGACGUGAGUGCUGCUUUCACCUGGGAGAAGGCUUCUUCCGCCGACGGGGUCCAGCAUACUUUCUCCGGCUGCCCCUUCCUGGUCAGGUCUGUCUGGGGGGCGGCUAAAGAGGAGAAGUUGGGGAUAAAACAAUGGUAAUACCCCGCCAACCCCAAGAAGGCUCGUACCUGGGUCUUUGUCUCGGGUCUUGGUGCGGCGUGGAUGGCCUCAACUUUCUUGUCUUGCGACCAGAUGAGUCCUCGGCCGACUUGGUAGCCCAGGUACUUGGCCUCAGAGAGGGCUAGGUGGCAUUUGCGGGGGUUGGCGGUAAGUCCAGCCCGCCGGAGCUCCGAAAGCACCCUCCGCAGACGAUCCAGAUGUUCGUCCCAUGCCUCGGAGUGGACCACGACGUCAUCCAGGUAGGCGGCCGCGUAAGCUUGGUGAGGCCGCAGGAGGAUGUCCAUCAUCCGCUGGAACGUCGCGGGGGCCCCAUGUAGGCCGAAGGGAAGGGUCCGGUACUGCCAGUGGCCACUGGGGGUGGAGAAGGCGGUUUUCGGCUUGGCGGCCUCGGAGAGCGGUACCUGCCAAUAGCCCUUGGUGAGGUCUAGGGUGCUGAUAUACCGGGCCCUUCCUAGCCGGUCCAGCAGUUCGUCCACCCGAGGCAUGGGGUACCCGUCGACUUCGGAGACUUCGUUCAGGCGGCGGAAGUCGUUACAAAAGCGGAGGGUGCCAUCCGGCUUUGGGACCAUCACAAUGGGGCUGGACCACGGACUCCGGGAUGGUUCUAUUACCCCCAACUUUAGCAUCUGUUGGACCUCCUCCUCAAUAGCCUGCCGACGAGCCUCCGGGACUCGGUAGGGCCGUUGCCUAACAAUGACUCCUGGGGGCGUCCGGAUAUGAUGUUGAAUCACGUUGGUCUGCCUGGGCUGAGAGGAGAACACAUCCUGGAACUGACUGACCAGGUGCUGCAGCUCCGUCUUCUGGGCAGCCGAAAGGUGGGGGUUGACAUCCACAACCACGGGCUCGGUGAGGCUCAGGGCAGCUACUUGGUCCCGGGUCCCCACCCAUUUCUUUAGGAGGUUGAUGUGGUAGAGUUGCUCCGCCUGCCGUCGUCCCGGCUGUCUCAGGCGGUAAGUGACCGGUCCAAUCCUCUCCACGACCGAGUAGGGUCCCUUCCAGGAGGCCAGAAAUUUGCAGGCGGAGCUGGGGACCAGGACCAUGACGCGGUCUCCCGGUUGGAACUCCCGUGGUUGGGCUGCCCGGUCGUAAUGACGUUGCUGCGCCUGUUGGGCCCUGGUGAGGUGUCCUGCCAUGGGGUGGGAAUGGGCCAGCUCUAGAAUGGUCUCGGUCUUGGCCCGAGGCACAACUAGUAACCUUUUCUCCUCCCCCCUACGCUGGGCGACACAAUACAGCAGGCCAUUCUCUACAACAAAAUGUGGGAGAGGGUGGGGCCGGGGGAGGACGUCCUCUCCAUCCACAACUCGCACCUGGCUCCAACAGUGCUUGAGUCGGUCGUCCUCCCGCUGUUCCUUGGCGAAAGAGCCCCCUCCAGCGGCCUGUUGGGAGGCGACGGUGGUUCUGCACUGGGCAUGGGCUCAUCUCGCGGUGGGGGAACCGUCGGCCUGCUGACUGGUCGCGCGGUGCCUUCGAGCGGGCGUCGCUCCUGGACCACCCUCCGGGGGAAUGGCGGCAGCCGGUCCCCUGUCCCGCUGUGAUGGACAGCAUCCGCCAGCUCGAUCGCCUCCACCAAUUCCCGGACGUCACGUGGGUUCCUCAUGCCGAUGGCCUGUCGGUGGGCGCGAGGCAGUGCGCGCAGGAGGCGAUCGACCACCACUCGUUCCGCUACCUGCGUUGGGGUGGGGUUUCCUUCCAACAGCCAGUGCUGGGCGAUGCGGCUGAGUUCGGCCGCCUGGGCACGGGCUGGCACCCGGGGCUUGUAUUCCCACUCGUGGAACUGCUGGGCGGCGCUCACAGGAGAGAGGCCCAGCCUCGCCAGGAUCUCUCGCUUAACUUCGAUAUAGCUGUCGGCACUUGUCAGGGGGAGCGAGAAGUAAGCCCUCUGUGCUUCACCGGUGAGGAGGGGUGCCAGCGCACGUGUCCACUCGUCCUCUGGCCAUCCCUCUCGGUGGGCGGUGUUUUCAAAGACCUGAAGGAAGGCUUCCACAUCGUCAUCGGCCAUCAUCUUAGGUGACAGACGGGUGGCUUGUGCCCGAGGCUCAGGUAGCGGAACGCGCUGGGCCGCGGCCGCCCGGACGGCGGCGAGUUCAUCCUCCGUCCUGCCCAGGCGAGUGGCGAGGUGUUCCGCUAUUUGCUGCUGGCGGAUGCUUACUUCAGCGAGGCGUUGUAAGACGUCCUCCAUCGCGGGGACGUGCGUGCCGCCUUCCGUGGUGCUGGUGACAGAAACAGGGAAAAAAAAGGAAAAAAAAUUAGGCGUUGGGGCGGUGAUCUUGUCGGUGAUUCCUCACUGUAGUGCCCGCAUUCUCCACCACUGUCACGGGGUGAAGAAACACUCGACAAGAGGUGCGUCAAUUAAAUGCCCCGGAGGGUGGGUUUAUUGAUAAGUGAAGGGUGCCUGGUGAAGUGUCCUGAUCCGCUUUCUGCUGGUUGGUGCUUCCCGUGUGCUCUCCGUGCUCUUCGGUGCCAAUCAAGGUGAAAGUGGGUGUCCUGACGUGCUCCAAAGUGUGUGGGCUGUCGGUCACUCGCUGCUUUCUGUGAAGGAAGGAGAGGGGGAUUAGACCAGUGUUGCAUUCGGUUCGAGAACCUCCUCUGAGUGAAACAUGUGCUCCUUUUAAAUGUGCUGGCUGAUGGGGAGCAGCUGUGACCGAUCAGCCGGUGACGAGGACGUGCAGGUGUUUUGCUUUGGUUUCCAGGGCG
ensembl:lncRNA